UAGAUUAGCCAUGCAUGUCUAAGUAUAAGCAAUUAUACAGCGAAACUGCGAAUGGCUCAUUAAAUCAGUUAUCGUUUAUUUGAUAGUACCUUACUACAUGGAUAACCGUGGUAAUUCUAGAGCUAAUACAUGCUGAAAACCCCGACUUCGGAAGGGGUGUAUUUAUUAGAUUAAAAGCCAAUGCCCUUCGGGGCUCACUGGUGAUUCAUGAUAACUUCUCGAAUCGCACGGCCUUGCGCCGGCGAUGGUUCAUUCAAAUUUCUGCCCUAUCAACUUUCGACGGCUGGGUCUUGGCCAGCCGUGGUGACAACGGGUAACGGAGGGUUAGGGCUCGACCCCGGAGAAAACGCCUGAGAAACGGCGUUUACAUCCAAGGAAGGCAGCAGGCGCGCAAAUUACCCAAUGCCGACACGGCGAGGUAGUGACGAGAAAUACUGAUACAGGGCUCUUUUGGGUCUUGUAAUUGGAAUGAGUACAAUUUAAAUCUCUUAACGAGGAACAAUUGGAGGGCAAGUCUGGUGCCAGCAGCCGCGGUAAUUCCAGCUCCAAUAGCGUAUAUUAAAGUUGUUGCAGUUAAAAA
rnacentral:rRNA from 1 species